AAGUCGUAACAAGGUUUCCGUAGGUGAACCUGCGGAAGGAUCAUUAAUAAACCUAGUCGUUCGCGUACAUAGGGGCAACCCUCGCGUGAUGUCAGCAAUACCUAGGUAACCCUUGAAUAAACUACCCUCGUUGCUUUGGCGGGCCGCCUUCUAGGCCAGCGGCUUCGGCUGCUGCGCGCCCGCCGGAGGACCACAACUCUUGUUUUUAGUGACGUCUGAGUACUAUAUAAUAGUUAAAACUUUCAACAACGGAUCUCUUGGUUCUG
rnacentral:misc_RNA from 1 species